AAUUAGUUCUAUAGGUAGUUAAUAAACCAAUAUGUAUWGGCGGUCUUUAUAAAUUAGAGAAACUCGCUUUGUAAUCGUAAAUACCCGAUAAUUUUCACUUUGUCUAAAAGUCUAUAUACCGCCGUUUAGAGGUUUCUCUAAAUAUUUAAUCCUUUAAAUACUGUAUAUUUAAAAUCAGGUCAAGGUGUAACUAAUGAUAAAGAAAAAGUAAGUUACAUUAAAAAUAAUUUAAGAAAGAUUAAACAAAAAUUUAUUAGAAAAAGAAUUUAUAUGUACAUCCUAAUUAAAAUUUAGUAUAGAACCCCGUAAUAAAGAUGCACACAUCGCNUUUUUUNAA
rnacentral:rRNA from 1 species